UGAACUUUCGCAGCUAAUAUUAUUCAUCAGGGAUUUCUGCAUUUGACGACAAAGCUAAGCGCAGAUAGGAUACCGGAUAAUUAUUGCUCGAGACGCUACUUUGCGAUAUAGCACCUUAGUUGUGCGUGGUGGCCAUGUCGAAGACGGGGACUCUUUUUGUGUUGUUGGCGUUACUUCUGCAAAGGGCAGCGUUCGUGAGAACGCAGAAGGUGAUAGCGGAGUGCGAUCCCGAUAAGGGAGUCUGUGAUUGGUGGAUUCGUCCAGCCGCCGUCAACCAAACGAUGGAGACCUGGGUCAACAGGACUGUCGGGCCGAGAAUUCCGACUCAUCCUCAGGAGCCGUAUUGGGAUUCCAGGGGAUCAGAGGGGAAGUAUUACCUCCAGAUUACAAAAACG